GGACUUAAUGAAGAAAUACGAAACAGCUGAGAAGAAAACACACUCCUAAUUAUUGAACCAGAUUGGCUACAUACCACGGAGAACCACCAAUGAACAGUCAGACUGCCGUAUUUAAAAAGGAUAACAGAUGGAGCAGAUCAUAUCGAUUGAAAAAGCCCUUGUGGAGGGUGGAACGCGUCUAGGAAAGAGGAACCCGUGUUGGACAUUUACAUUAGCAUAUUGCUAUUUUAAUUUUAUUUUUUUUAUCAGUAUUUUAAUGUUACCAAAUAAAUCCAUUUUACUUCAAAGUC